GACGAACGCUGGCGGCGUGCUUAACACAUGCAAGUCGAACGGAAAGGCCCUGCUUUUGUGGGGUGCUCGAGUGGCGAACGGGUGAGUAACACGUGAGUAACCUGCCCUUUACUUUGGGAUAACUUCAGGAAACUGGGGCUAAUACCGGAUAGGAGCUCCUGCUGCAUGGUUGGGGUUGUAAAGUUUCGGCGGUUUGGGAUUGACUCGCGGCUUAUCAGCUUGUUGGUGGGUUAGUGGCUUACCAAGGCUUUGACGGGUAGCCGGCCUGAGAGGGUGACCGGCCACAUUGGGACUGAGAGACGGACCAGACUCCUACGGGAGGCAGCAGGGGGGAAUAUUGCACAAUGGGCGGAAGCCUGAUGCAGCAACGCCGCGUGCGGGAUGACGGCCUUCGGGUUGUAAACCGAUUUGGCCUGUGACGAAGAGUGAGUGACGGUAAUGGGUAAAGAAGCACCGGCUAACUACGUG
rnacentral:rRNA from 1 species